UGGACGAGUUUGAAUGUCAGUUGAAAUGCAUUGGGAAUAACGGUUGCAAGUCUUUUAACGUUCAUCCCCAUGACAACAGUGCCAAACGACUUAAAUGCGAGCUCAAUAGCAAAACACGACAAGUGAAGCCAGGAGAUUUUCAAUGGAGGAAAGGAUCUACUUACUAUGGCUCUGUACAGGUCUCCUGCAUUGAUGUAUCUCGUUACCCAGGGUACCAUGGAAAAAACUGUCAAUCGCAAUCAUGUGUAUGUGGACCUCUCAGUGUAGAGGACAGGAACACAGUACCAGAUGCCAGGAUGA